AGUAGAUCGUAUUUUUCAAGUGUCCAUAAAUUUCCCAACAAUCAUCACAGGGAUCACAAAAUAUUAUUAUUGAAACUGGACGCCACCCUGAUCAGUUAAACACAAGGCAUACUAUCAAUGUUGUGUAAGACUUUAUUAAUCGAAUAGUACCAGACUAUUUUAAUUUUUAUCUUAGAUCUGGCCGCUGGAGUGGCCAUUUACAAAAACAACAUCACUUCACAUGUUACUACACUCAACAUGGAUCUAGCAGUUCAAAAUGCUACAGAAGUUCAUGUUUCCCAAACAUCUAUUGGUGAUAUGUGUGCUUCACAUGUUAAACUAGAAGACGGAAGUGAAUUAAUUAUGAUUGUAGUAUACAUUUCACCUAAUAACAAAAUGGAUCAUAUAAUUUCAUUUUUACAUGAAAGCUGGAGAUUUUAAUGUAAAUUUUGCAAGAGCUGAAUCAAUGCCAUUAAUGACAUUUCUUCAAAAAGAAUUUCAAUUGCAAAUCAACAACAAUCCAAGAGAAUCUACUACCAAAUAUGGAACAACAAUAGAUGCUGUAUUUGUGAGGUAUCUUGAUAAUGUUUCAUCCAAUACUUUUGUAACGUACUUUAGUUAUCAUCGACCAAUCGUCACAGUAAUACCGGCAGAGGAAACAUCGAAUAUAACUAUUACUGAAGUCACAGAUGAAAAUAUUUAAAUUGUGGCCACUUGAUAUUAAUAUCGAAUUUUUAUAUCACAUGUAAAUAAAUGUUUAUUAA